AAUGUAUAGCAAUAGCUACUUGCAUCAUUGUAAAUAUGAUGCAAGAUCGACUAUGUCGAAUAAAAUUCUAGGUAGAAUUAUGAUAAUGACAUUGUCUGCCUAUGUGUCUUGACCAAAUUACGUGCCAGCAGUCGCGGUAAUACGUAGAAGACUAGUGUUAUUCAUGUUUAAUCGGUUUAAAGGGUACCUAGACGGUAAAUCAAGCCUAAAAGGAAAGAAAUGAAGGGACUAAUUUACUAGAGUUACUUAUGAGGGGGUAUUAAAGUACUGCUGGUGUAGAGAUGAAAUUCUGUCAUACCUCUUUUCAAUAGAAAAAUAAUGGCACAGGUAUAGGCGAAAGCAUCCCCUUAUGUGAUAACUGACGUUGAGGGACGAAGGCUUUGUGUAGCGAACAGGAUUAGAUACCCCAGUAGUCAAAGCAGAAAAUGAUGAAUGUCAUAGAUUAGAUAUAUAAGUUUAUUCUAUAAAUGAAAGUGUAAGCAUUCCACCUCAAGAGUAAUUUGGCAACAUUGGAACUGAAAUCAUUAGACCGUUUCUGAAACCAGUAGUGAAGUAUGUUGUUUAAUUUGAUGAUCCGCAAAAAACCUUACCACAAUUUGAAUAUUUAUAUCUUAUAUUGUUUUUUUUUUUACUUUAUUCUAAUUUUCUACUUAAAAGAAAACAAUAACAAGAAAAAAGAGACAAGAAGAUAUAUUUACAAGCGUUGCACGGCUGUCUUCAGUUAAUGUCGCGAGACUAUGGUUAGUUCCAUUAAAUUAACGUAAACCCUUACUUUAUUUUUAUAUAGAGUAGUUCCCCGCUAUAUUGGAUAUGAUAACAGG
rnacentral:rRNA from 1 species